GAGUUUGAUCCUGGCUCAGAACGAACACUGGCGGCAGGCUUAACACAUGCAAGUCGAGCGGGCCCUUCGGGGUCAGCGGCAGACGGGUGAGUAACGCGUGGGGAUCUGCCCAAUGGUACGGAACAACUCAGGGAAACUUGAGCUAAUACCGUAUACGCCCUUCGGGGGAAAGAUUUAUCGCCAUUGGAUGAACCCGCGUCUGAUUAGCUAGUUGGUGAGGUAACGGCUCACCAAGGCGACGAUCAGUAGCUGGUCUGAGAGGAUGAUCAGCCACACUGGGACUGAGACGCGGCCCAGACUCCUACGGGAGGCAGCAGUGGGGAAUAUUGGACAAUGGGCGCAAGCCUGAUCCAGCCAUGCCGCGUGAGUGAUGAAGGCCUUAGGGUUGUAAAGCUCUUUCGUCAGGGAAGAUAAUGACGGUACCUGAAGAAGAAGCCCCGGCUAACUUCGUG
rnacentral:rRNA from 1 species